CCGACACUCGCGCGGCCUCGCGCUCCGGCCUCUCCCCGCGCCGCGGACGGAUCGGGGCCGAGCGCGACCGCGCUCGCUGCUGACGGGCGCCGGGACAAGGCGCAAGUGGGCGGGGUGGCCGCCUCUCGCGACAGCCGCGCCGGCCAGGCCCGCCCCCCCUGCUGAUUGGCUCGGGCUGCCCCUUCUCGGCCCGUGAUUGUUCCGGGUCCCCAAUCCGAUUCGCCCCCGCUGCGGCCACGCCUCCCCAGGGCUGUCGAUCACGUCGGAGCCGCCCCGUCCCGCCCCUCGGCGGCCGGCGGGGUCGGAGCGGCGGAAAACCCGGGGCGGAUUCCUGCUCGCUUUUGUUCCCCCAGAUCUGAGCCGAGCAUUGUUUGAGGUGAAAGCCGGGCGUCAGGCCUUCCCGUGUGACUCCCGGGAGUCGCCGUAGGGAGGCGGCGAGCGUCUCGGGAAAGCUGCUGGAGCGGGGUUCCGGAGACCCGAGCCGCGCGCCCCGGCGCUCCGUCAGCGAAGCUGUGUGACCUUGGCCGAGUCGCUUGGCCUCUCUGAGCCCUGGGCGCCUCCGCGGAACCCGAGGGUAAUCCUGACCGCCCCGGGGGGCUCGCGAGAAGGUCGUGAGCUUACGGAGGGCCGGCGCCCGCCCGUGCGAGCCGGCCGGCCUGCCUUGGGGUGAGCAGGGAGCCCGGUUCUCCGCAGACCUCGCCCAGACGGAGCCAUUGUUAAGCCGGCCUCCUGUCCGCGAGCGGGGAGCCUAGAGAGCUCAAGUGCGUCCGCCUGCCCCAGCCUGUGCGUGGCGCCGGGCUGCAGGCUGCGGGGAGGCCGGCCCACCCCGUCCCCUGGACACCCUACAGCUGCAGGCGGUGGGUGUGGAGACCGCUGCCGCGGAGCACUCUCCCAUGCUCCCCGCCCUGCCCCUAGGUCCCGUCUGCGGGUGUCUGUGACUCAUGUGCGGGUUCAUUGGUUCGGCAGCUGUGUGUGCCGGUUCUGAGGCCUUGGGGUCAGGGGUGCGCACUGCUCUGCCCUCCUUGCCCUACGGAGCUCAUACUCUGGUUCUCAGCAGUGCACGAGGCGAAGGACUGGAUCCACGAGCGCAUUUCUUCAGGACAUGGUCCGAGAUGCAAAACCUAACAAGACGUUCUCCAGCCUUGGGACUUCAAGGUUGGACAGAUUUUGCAGAGCCACACUAGGGAGAAAAAGAAAAUCUGCUUCCCACUUCCUGACCCCUCUCCACUCCCUGGGCAAAAUUUCUCAGAGCCACUCUGGGGCUCUUGGCCAGUGACAGGAGGAGCAGGCGUCCGGGUGACAGUUCCAGACAUCCCAGCAACCGGGUGACACUCCCAGGCAUCCCAGCAUCCGGGUGACAGUCCCAAACAUCCCAGCAACUGGGUGACGCUCCCAGACAUCCCAGCAUCCAGGCAACAGUCCUAGACAUCCCAGCAACCAGGUUCCUUGGAGCAGAAAGAUCUCAGGGCUCUCCGUCACUGAGGGCUCCUCCAAUCCAGCCCAGCCAUGCUGUGAAGGCCCCAAGUGAUGAUGUCAAGCUGACCUGUGUUCCAGUCCCAGCUCCAGCCAACUGUGUGACCUCGGCCACUCACUCAAGCCUCAGUUUCCUCAUCUGUAAAAGGAAGCCAGGACCCCACUCCCAGCUGGCAGUGGUGGUCAGAGGUGCUAACAGGGGCCCUGGACAGCUGGGACAACUGAGCCACACGUACCAGGAUCAAGGCCUGCCAGCUCCAGACUGCUUUCUUGCCACUUUCUGCUGUGCUGUUUGCUGUUGAAUGUGUGUACUGGCCUAAAUGGUGUCCCGCGAAAGGUCAUGUCCACCCAGAACCUCAGGAUGUGACUUUUUUUGGAAAUAGGGUCUUUGCAGAUAUACUUUAGGUAAGAAUCAAAAUGAGAGUGUUUCUUGUUAUACACAGGAAAGAACAAGCAGGGAUUCAGGGGACGGGGGAGGGGGGGCACGAUUGAAGACAGAGGCAGAGGUUUGGAGCCACCAGGAGCUGGAAGAGGUGGGAAGGACCCCCCUCCCCCGCCCAAGCCUGUGGAGGGAGUGCAGCCCUGCGACCUCUCACCUUUCGAUGUCUGACUGCAGAAGAACACUUCUGUCUUGUGAGGCCUGAAGGCUGCGUUCAUUUGUCAUGGCUGCCCCUGGACACUCUUACAGCGUGAUUUCCCCUCAGCUUCACUCCAGUGCAAUUUAAUUCAGCUCCACAGAUGGUGAAUCACUACCCAGGACCAGACCCCACUAAGGACUUGGGGGCCUCCAAGAAGAAUGAGACCCAGCUCAUCCACUUUAAGGAAUGGAUGGCCUGCACUCCCGUCUCCAAAGCAGAUGGCCGCCCAUCUGUGGGAGCUUUCUCUUAGCAUACCGUUCCCUUCCCCAGGAAGCAGCCAGGAGCCUCCUGGAGAUGUGGACUGGUCACCGUGGGCCCAGGGCCGCACAGUUUGUGCGUGUUGGAACCAUAUCCUGACCUAAGUCAAUUGCCCAGACUGUCCCUCCUGGAGGAAAGCACAAAGGUGACAUGUCAUUUAUUCAUUAUUUCUGCAGACUAGAGACUCUGGUCGUAUUUGUUGCAUGCCAGUUUUUCCCAGCCUGGACUUUGCUGACUGAGUCCACCUGAAGUCAUAAACGGGCAACCGUUGCCAACAGUGCCCCGAGCUGUUUCUGCACAGCUGCACAUUUUCCUCCAGGGCAGACCUGCUUUCCUGGGUGUCUUUGGCCUUUGGCUAGGUGCAGCAUUUCCACAGUGGGAAAUUGUCCAGGCUCUUAUUUAAGAUGGACAUUCCUUAGCCUGACCCUGGGUAUGGAGUCAGACUCCCAGGGGCUGGCGUCUUGGACUCGGCAUGUUGCUAGCUCUCGGGUGACCCCGGUGCACACUGACGUUUGAAAACUGCUUUGGGGAGUGGAGAUUUUGCUUUCAGGCAUCUAGCCUGCUUCUCUGGACCAAGAGCAACCACCAAAAUAAUCAGUCACGUCCAUACCAUGGGCCUGCCCAUGGACAAGGGUCCUCCUGUUUUACAGCCGGGGAAGCUGAGGCUUGAAGAGGUCAGACCCUCAGUGGCUCCUGGCUUCUCGUUAAGUCCUGAGCCUUCUUCCCUUUGUCUAUUUGUUCAUUUUUCACAUUUCUACCUUUCUCACACCACAGUUACAUUCUCUGAAACCCAGCAGUUAAUUCAUAGCUGCUUUCGGGUUAGUGUGUUUUGCUUAUCUUUCUGCUAUGGAAAUUCUCAAGCAUACCCAAAAGUCAUUAGACUGGUAUAGUGAUUUCCUGAGUCCCCACUGCCCAGCUUCCACAGCAGUGGUUCAUCCAUUGCUCCCAAUGCACCCUG